GACUGCGGUGCUGGCUGCAG
rnacentral:siRNA from 1 species